rnacentral:rRNA from 1 species
GUGGGGAAUCUUGCGCAAUGGGCGAAAGCCUGACGCAGCCAUGCCGCGUGAAUGAUGAAGGUCUUAGGAUUGUAAAAUUCUUUCACCGGGGACGAUAAUGACGGUACCCGGAGAAGAAGCCCCGGCUAACUUCGUGCCAGCAGCCGCGGUAAUACGAAGGGGGCUAGCGUUGCUCGGAAUUACUGGGCGUAAAGGGCGCGUAGGCGGACAGCUUAGUCAGAGGUGAAAGCCCAGGGCUCAACCUUGGAAUUGCCUUUGAUACUGGCUGUCUUGAGUUUGGGAGAGGUGAGUGGAACUCCGAGUGUAGAGGUGAAAUUCGUAGAUAUUCGGAAGAACACCAGUGGCGAAGGCGACUCACUGGCCCAAUACUGACGCUGAGGCGCGAAAGCGUGGGGAGCAAACAGGAUUAGAUACCCUGGUAGUCC